UCAAAACAUAAUAAUCGAGGCUAGAGAAGGCAAAGAAUGUAUAGGAAAAUGUUAUAGAUCCCUUACUCGUUCUCUUUCGAUGAUAGAUUCAGAAGAAAGAGCCAACAAAGAAUGCAUAGACCAUAAUGGACUUAGUAGCAAAUGUUCUCCUAAUACUUCCCCUUCUGUGAUUGAUUCAGAAGAAGAAGUAGUACUCAACGAAGAAUAUAUGGAUGGUACUAAAGAACAUAAAAGAAAAUGUCAUUGCAAAUGUCGUAAACAUAAAUCUCCAACUCAUUCACCUUCAAUGAUAGAUUCAGAAGCAGGUGUCAACAAAAACCAUAAAAAAAAAUGUCAUUGCAAAUGUCAUAAAGCUAAAACUCCUAAAUGAAUAUUAUAUUUAAAAUAGAUGUAACUCUUAAAUAUAUUUUCUUCAUAUAAUUAAUAUUAAUAAAAUGAUAUAUUCUCUAUUUUUGUUUGAUAGUGAUGGAAUCAAUUUCCAAAUGACAAUUCUUAAUCUUAUAACAUUAAAUCAUUCAAAUUUUUCGAAGUGUAUGAACGACCUCUAGAAAAGAAUGUGGGAUCCAAAAACCAAAAAAUUGGUUUAGACACAUGACAAUUGUGUGAGUGUUUCUGCACAGAUAAAUUGGAUGAUAAAUCAAGUCGGUUUUGAGGAGGAUUUCAACAAGACUCGAGCUUCACCAUGAGAGAUAACGCCCCGAUCGUCACUUAUCUUAGUGGAUCCCAUGUCCUCUCUCGGCCCAUGGGCCCUCCCGUUCUGACGGCCGGUCCGCUACGUCCGGGAGGGUUUAAAGACUUGUUUACCGAUCCUACAAAUCACCACAUUAUCAUUCCCUGUGUUUUGUCCUCACUCACACAGUUCCGACAAUCAGUUUCCGAAAGGUCACCCAUCCUGAAAUUGCUCUAGUUCAAGCACCAAUAACAUUGGAGUUCUCUAAGGACAGUUGAUCGAAAAGAUAAGUACACUUUGGUGACAUAGGUGGCCAAGUCAAUUCUUUUAAAUCUCUCCGCAUGCACCACCAUAUUUUUGAAACCACAGUGUUACAAUUCACCCCCACUAACAGACCGCAAUGUCCUCGUUGCACACCAAGACCGUCACUCCGACGGUGUGAGCCCUCUUGACUCCACACUCAUCAGAGUUCGGCUCUGAUACCAUUUAUAACGCCCCGACCGUCACUUCUCUUAGUAGGCCCCACGUCUCCUCUCUGCUCGUGGGCCCACCCGUGUAUGACUGUCGGUCUGCUACGUCCGAGAGGCUUGAAAGACUUGUUUAUCGACCCUACAAAUCACCACAUGAUCUUUACCUUUGUUUUUUCCUCACUCACACAGUUCCGACAAUCACUUCCCGAAAAAUCACCCAUCCUGAAAUUGUUCCAGUUCAAGCACCCUUAACUUUGGAGUUCUCUCAGGAAAGUUGACCGAAAAGAUAAGUGCACUUUGGUAACAUAGAUGGCCAAGUCAAUUCUUUUAAACCUCUUGGCAUGCACCACCAUAUUCCUGAAACUGGGGUAUUACAAGAGAGUUGACUAUUUGGAAUAUUUUGUUUAUGAUAUAGUUGAACCUCAUGGAAGUUGCUUACGCACCCAUGUAAAAGGAUCAAGCAUUCAAAAUUCAUACUAAAAAAGUUUUCUAGGUUUUUGUGUGAGAGAUUUCAUCCAAAGAGAUGCUUCUCUCUUUAUAUGAACAUGUAGUCAGUUUCGAGAUAUGUACAACUUCCUUAUUUAUCGAACAUAGAUAUGUAUCUUUUCCUCUUUCUUGGAUUCUUAACUUAUCUUCUUAGAAGAUAAAGGAAAAUCUUCUUAACUUAUCAUAAGACUCAUAACUGAAAAUAAAGUCUUCUCUAUAUUAGACAAAAGGAGUUAUAACUGAAAAACAAAAUCUGUUCUAUAUUGAUAAAAUCUAAUAUUUUCAAUAAAUUAAAAAUAAAACUGUUUAAAUAAAGUAAUGCCCAAAUCCCAAUAGGAUACUAUAGCUCUGAUUUUAUUAUUUUCAAAAUCUGUGAAUUUAUUAUAAUAAUUGUAUUUGUGAAAAGUAAUUGUAUUUUUGAAAAAAUAGACUUUGUAUCUUGGAUCAUUGAAUGAGUGUCAUAAUUAAAAAUAAAAAAUCUAGAUAUAUACAAAAUCUGAAAUUUAAAGUACUUUAAAAAAAAUUGUUUUUCCAUCCCAUAUAUAAAUGGACUCAAGACUAGCUAAUUCUCUCACAAUCCAUACUCAUCAAGCAUCCAAAUACAAACAUUGUUUAGCUAUGACCAACAUUUACGUUAGGACCGCUUUUCUUCUCUCCCUCUUGUUGUCCUUCUCUCGUAAGUAAAUGUGAAUUUUCAUUGGUAAUUCAUAAAUUGGUGAAAACGGUUCCAAGAUUUUGCAUAAUUUAACCAAUUAUGCAAAUUGUGGAAUUGUAAUUUAUAUUUAGCCGUUUGUGAUCGAUUUUGUCGUUUCUAAGUUAAAUUCAAAUGAUUUUUUGCAUCAUCUAUGUUUCCAUUAUAUUCAUGAACUUAAAUGCUUUGGGAUUAUUCUAUGUUACGAUGUUACCAACCUUAUACAAAUUUGACAUUUUUCUUUUUUUCUUUAAAUAAAUUGAAGAUCAAAGCAUAAUAAUCGAGGCCAGGGGAGGCAAAGGAUGUAUAGGCAUAUGUUAUAGAUCUCCUACUCCUUCUCCUUCGAUGAUAGAUUCAGAAGAAGGAACCAACAAAGAAUGCAUGGACCAUAAAGGAGUUGGCAGCAAAUGUUCUCCUAAUCCUUCCCCUUCAAUGAUAGAUUCAGAAGAAGAAGUCAACCAAGAAUAUUGGAACAUUGAAGAACAUGAAAGCAAAUGUCAUUGCAAGUGUCCUAAACAUAAACCUCCUACUCCUUCACCUUCAAUGAUAGAUUUAGAUGAAGAAGUCAACCAAGAAUAUAUGGACAUUGAAGAACAUAACAACAAAUGUCAUUGCAAGUGUCAUAAACAUAAACCUCCUACUCCUUCACCUUCAAUGAUAGAUUCAGAAGAAGAAGUCAACCAAGAAUAUUGGGACGUCGAAGAACAUAAAAGCAAGUGUCAUUGCAAGUGUCCUAAACAUAAACCUCCUACUCCUUCACCUUCAAUGACAGAUUCAGAAGAAGCUAAAGCUCCUACCCCCAUUGAAAAACGUAAAAGAAAAUGUCAUUGCAAAUGUCAU
rnacentral:lncRNA from 1 species